AGCCUUUGGAGAGGAUUAAAGGUUAUACCUGCCCAAUGUCAUAAUUAAUGGCCGCGGUACUUUGACCGUGCUAAGGUAGCACAAUCAAUUGGCCCUUAAUUAGGGUCAGGUAUGAAUGGAGUUACGGGGCUUAGCUGUCUCUAAACUAUUUAAUUGAAGUUGCUGUAUAGGUGAAAAAGCCUAUAUUAAGAAAAAAGACGAGAAGACCCUUAGAGUUUUACUUAAGAAAGAAUUAUUUCUUCACUAGUUUUGUUGGGGCAACAUAGGAGAAGAAUUAAACCUCCUAAAGCAUAUAAACCGAUGUUUUUAAAUAUGAAUAAACUACCUUAGGGAUAACAGCAUAAUUUU
rnacentral:rRNA from 1 species